GACCUUGUGGCGUAAUGGUAGCGCGUCUGACUCCAGAUCAGAAGGUUGCGUGUUCAAAUCACGUCAGGGUCA
rnacentral:tRNA from 1 species